CUACUACAUCAAUCAGACCACAAGGUGCCCUUUCAGGAAAGUAAUGGAGUAUAAUCAACCUAACUUCAUUGAUCUACAAGGACUACUGAAAAUUAUAAAACUUUCUUUGGGAUUCUAACAUGCCAGAAACCACUAGAAAAAGAAGUUUGAUAUCUCAGAGGUUCUCCUCAUCGUGGUAUAGAGACCAAAAUGAUACUUUCAAAAAGCCUGACAGGUUUCUCCGGAAAAGUGACCAUCCAUGGAAUGAAUGAAAUGUUCCCUUUCUAUUCCAGUAAGUAAUUGACUUGUAACUAAAAAUUGAACUGGCUGCUAUGUCAACUACAAUGUGAGCGGCUGCUGGCACAGGUGUUGCUUACUCUUUAGCCUGGAAAGAAAAGGGGCUUAACCUGUGAUUAAAUUUAAAGUCAAUUGACCUCAACAUGAGAGUACAUAAUUCUCACUUGCCUAUGGAAUGGCCUGAGUCUGUUUUAACCCCGAUUCUGGCACCUGUGUUUUUAAUGUUUGGAGUAGCUAAAGCUAGAGUUGCUCGUUUGGUUAGAAAUAAAGUGGGUGGAGAACAGUUCUAAGCAAAUAACAAAUGAUGGUCAGCCGACUAAGUCUUUAAUCCAGCGCUCAAUGUGUUCUUUUCUUUUAAUGCAUUAAUUGUAAGUUCGUGUAAAUUAUUAUUCAAACUUUUUUUAAAAAAUAUGGAUUCAUGGGCAACCAUUUUAUUACUAAGGAUACAGAGUAAAUCUAAAUCUGUGAAUUACUAACAAGCAAAGGAUGUGAGAAUGAUGACACUUUCAAAUGCUUAAGUUUGCUUAUGUAACCUAUCACAGGCUUUUUAAAUAAGCCUUGCACUUUAAAGAUUUUCUUAGCCCUAGGAAUGAAAUAGCAAUAUUGUUUUUCCAGGUUUCUGUAAAUUAACAAAAGACUGUUUACUUUUAGCAAGAUGACCUUGUUUGAGUUUUGGAGACAAACAUAUAUCUACUUCUCAAAAGCAAAAUAAAAAUCAAUGACAUCUAAAAUUACCAUUUACACUUGAAGCUAUUCUCCAUGCAUUUUAUGUAAAAUGACUGCAUGCUAAGAAUAAGUCUAUAAGGUGAGAACAGCCUAGACUGUUGUUUUUUCUUUCUCAUUUCCUUUUUAACCUGAGAAUUAGAAGAAAGUACUGAUGAUGCUUGCUUAACCCUGCUUUUAGUGCCAGGCUGUGACCAGCUCUCUGUGAAACCAUUUCUGACCCUCUGCUUGCAGUGGUGAACAUGAAUUUUUCCCCUUCCUUGCCCAUCACUGUCAGUCAAUUAUAGGAUUGAACUGAACCAGAAAAUCUGGUACAGUCUGGUAAUUAGUACAAAGGGUUUCCAGUCUAGUGUAAAGACGGGGAUGCAAGAGCCCCAGCAGUCACAGAAAUCGUUUUGAUUGGCCAUGGACAUUGCCUUUUAGUGCUGCUCGGUGACUUCCUAAAGAUAUUGCCUCCUACCCUACAGGUUUUCUCCUUCAAGUACAUUAUGGACCUUUUCAAAAGUCAUGUGUGUGUGUGUGUGUGUGUGUGUGCGCGUGUGCGUGCGUGCGUGCAUGUGUGUGUGUGUGUGUGUGUGUGUGUAUACGUUUCUUUUUUUAGAUCCAACUUCUCCCAUUUUUAGUCUGUCAUUUUUGCCUAUCAAACAGACACAUUUUGACUUGCCCAACAAAGAACCAAGUUAUCAACACUCACAGAAACUGACAUUUUUAAUUCAGGCUUCAUUAUGUCUUUGAAUUAUGACAGUGAAGUACAAAGACGUUUUAAGAGUUUUUUCAUUAUUUUUUUAAAUCCAGCAUUGGGAUGUUUAUCUUUCUUUAGUAUUCAUAUUUCCUUUUCUAUCUUUAUUCUCAGUAAUAUAUAAUUAGCAUUAUCAAAACCAUCAGCUAUUAUCCUUUAUGACUUUUGACCUUUAUUUUUUAAUAUGUCUCAAGCUAGCAUUCUCUAAAACAAAAAUUCUAUGAGAGAUAUUAACGAAAUAUUUUAGGGUUAUAAAAACAAUGAAAUGAUUUAAAACAUGAAUCUUUUUAAAUAUCAACAUUACAUGAAUAGGCAAGUAACACAUUAUAUGAUAAAACUAUAGUGACAAAAUAAAUUUCAGAAAAAAAUUAUUCUGUAAAUCAAGCUUGCAUUUGGUGGUAAGUGUAACUUUAUAGUCUGUAGUUCAUCACACAUUUUUAACCACUACUAUGGAGUUAUUGGCUUAAUGUCAAUGGUAUUUAUAUACUUUUUGCAGAAAAAGUAAUUUUUUGUACUAAUUACCAGACUGUACCAGAUUUUUUGCAAACAUCCUCUUUGACUAUAGAUUACAAAAACUCAGUAGUCACACAUUAGAUACAACAAAAGUGUUUGGUAGCUUGUCAUUUUAACAAAUGCUGGCCUUCAAAAGAUAGAUAUAAGUACAUCUAAGGGCAAAUUUAAUGUCUGACACUCUGUGCAAAACUGCAAAAGCAACAGUGCCCAAAAUAACAGAAGCAAAAGAAAGCACAAGGUUUUCCAUUUCCAAGAAUGCUAUUCUAGCACAAUCUGCAUCAUGAUUUUAGUCAUGAUGCAUAUGUGCUGUGAAUCUUUUAAAGGAUCAUUUAUUUACCCACAUCUUAAUGUAGCUUUAAAUAUCUGUUUUAUCCUACAUACAAUCUUAACAAAAGUAGUUAUGUUACCAUGUCUGGUACUUAUUUCUACAUGUCUGAAUUUUGCUAUUAAAUUUCAAGAAGGUUAAUAUUGCUUUUGUAACCCUGUCAUGAGUAAUGCAUUUUCCCAGUAAACAUGUCAUACUUUUAAAAGCUGUUCAAGAAGCAGUAUUUCUGUUGAAAGUUUUGUGUUUAUUUCUCUAUUGUUUUUUUAACCAUAAUAUAGUGUAAUGCUUUGAAAAGAAUACGCAUAUUUAUGUAAUUAACAUUUUUUGUUUUCAGCAAAACCUUGCCCAUUAAAAACGAGAAGAGUCUUAGAAAACCAUAUAAAUGGGCAACGUUUCAGUGACAAUAUUUGCAUUCAAUUUUAAUUCACCACCGAGUCUAUAUCUUGAAAUGUAUCUAUAAAGGACUGAAGGAAGAGUACAUUCUGAUAAUAGUUUUAUUUUUUAAUCUAAAAUAUAUGUUGAAAUUCCAAAGGUGCUUGCCACAUGUGGUAUGGCAGUAUUCUAUGUUCCAUUAUAUCUGAAUGCUUUGUGGGUCUGUAUAAUAUUACAGGCUUUAAUAUGGAUAUAAACAUUCUUUUCUACCUCAGCCUUACUCCUAGUGGCAGGAGUAAGGCUUGGGAAAAACUCUAAAGAUUAUCCAGUCUCAUGAUUUUCAAACUGUGUUCCCUUGAGCUCUUAGGCUCUUUGGGGCUACUUAGGGCUGUGGGGGAAGGGAGACCAAUUGGCCUCUUACCUCCUGCCUUUAUCUGCUGUGUCUAUUAGAGCCCCACGUAAAAUUGGAAUCCCAUGAUGGAGGGAAAAAGUAAAAUACUAUUGACUGAGCCUCUCUUACAGAUAAGGAAAGCAGAGUUUACUUAAAGUGGCACUCUGAAUCAGUGACAACCAACCACUUGUCCCUUAGUCUUAAACCUACUAAACUGCAAUAAACUUUUCCUACACAGUUAUGGGUCUUUUUGUAUUGUCAUCCUAAACAGCAUUACUAAAAACACACACUAAGAUAUCUAUAGCCCAGUGUUCAAAAUCAAGAUAUUUACUGAGGAUACAAUAUCAAGGUAGGUAAUGCAAUUGAGUAAAAUGUUGCAGACCAAAAUCAAGCCCUCUAUUUGGCAAUACAUUAAAUUUGGUGCAUUACUGUAGACUUUAUGUAAAAUAUUGAUUCAUUUAUUACUUAGUAAUAUUUUGUAUUUUUAAAUUUUCAAUUGUGGUUGAAAAAAACACAUCUAAACCAUUUUUUUAAGUGUAAAGUUCAAUACUUAACUAUAUUCACAUUUUUGUACCUGGGGGUAUCUUGCAUGGUGGGAAAAAUUAAUUAAUUAAGACAAAUUCAAAAGAAAAAGAAUUAAAGAAAGUAAAGCUGAAUUAAGAUGCUACUUUUCUCAAAGCAUGUAUUAUGGAAACAUGUUUUAUGGAAACUAUUCCUAUAAGAUGUGCAAAGUAAAAGAGUGACAUGGUCAAAUAAUCUUUGGAAAUAUAGCAUGUUAUGUCCCUUUAUAAGAAAUUUAUAGACUUGUAUUUUAAAAACUCUGAGAAAUCAUAUUGGAAAGAUCUCUUUGAACUAUGUAUACUAGAGUUUCCUAAACAAUUUUUCCAUAGACUUUCCUCACCUAUUUCACAUAAAAAAUCUAUUUUUAUUCUUCAGGGCUAAUGUUUUAUUGAAUACAUUUUGGGAAACUUUCCUCUAACAGCACUUUUGCACAUUAAAAAAAAAAAGAUCUGUAAGGUACUAUUUAAGUUAUUUAUGUUAAAUGGUUCUGAAUUUACCAAUCCUUCAUCCUCAUUUUGUGGAUAUUAAUGGACAUCCAUUAAUUCAAUCACCCAGCAGAUAUUUACGGACAGUGCUAAAUGCUAGGAAAUACAGUAAUGAGUAAAUCAAUCUUAUCUUAUAGAGCUUAACGUCCAGGGGAAAAAAAUCACAAAGAGAGAGGGAGAGAGGAAAAAGAAAGAAAGAAAAAAGAAAAG
rnacentral:lncRNA from 1 species